rnacentral:tRNA from 1 species
GGGGUUGUAGCUCAAUGGUACAGUGCUUACCUUGCAUGUGGAAGGCACUGAGUUCAAUCCUCAGCACCACA